rnacentral:rRNA from 1 species
CAGUCAUGCUAGUGAGGAAUCAACCUGAUGGUGUGUGGGUUCUCUCGCAUACUUUCUGGUGCACUUCCUUACUUGGCAGGUUAGCAUCAAUUUCGGUUAUCAUAAAAAAUUUGAGGGAACGUGGCUUUCCUUCGGGAAAGUGUUAUAGACCUCGAUCUAUGUGGUGACCGGGAUUGAGGAUUGCAGCGGAUACCUUCGUGG